AGUGGGGAAUUUUGCGCAAUGGGGGAAACCCUGACGCAGCAACGCCGCGUGAAGAAUGAAGUCCUUCGGGACGUAAACUCCUUUCGAUCGGGACGAUUAUGCCGGUACCGGAAGAAGAAGCCCCGGCUAACUUCGUGCCAGCAGCCGCGGUAAUACGAGGGGGGCGAGCGUUGUUCGGAAUUAUUGGGCGUAAAGGGUGCGUAGGCGGUUUGGUAAGUCUUAUGUGAAAUCUAUGGGCUCAACUCAUAGACUGCAUGAGAAACUGCCGGGCUUGAGUAUGGGAGAGGUGAGUGGAAUUCCUGGU
rnacentral:rRNA from 1 species